AUAAUUAGCGGGGAAAGAAGACCCUUUUGAGCUUGACUCUAAUCUGGCAGUGUAAGGAGACAUAAGAGGUGUAGAAUAAGUGGGAGAUAUUAGACUUCAGUUUGGUAUCGACAAUGAAAUACCACUACUCUUAUUGUUUCCUUACUUACUUGAUUAAAUGGAACGUGUAUCAUUUCCUAGCCAUUAUACGGAUAUAAUUAUUAUGUCUUAUGGUAUUGGGUUUUGAUGCAAGCUUCUUGAUCAAAGUAUCACGAGUUUGUUAUAUAAUCGCAAACAAAUUCUUUAAUGAGAGAAUGCAUUUAUGUAUUAUUGAUUUAAAAAUUUGGUAUAACUCCAAUUACUCAGGUAUGAUCCAAUUCAAGGACAUUGCCAGGUAGGGAGUUUGACUGGGGCGGUACAUCUCUCAAAUAAUAACGGAGGUGUCCCAAGGCCAGCUCAGUGCGGACAGAAACCACACAUAGAGCAAAAGGGCAAAUGCUGACUUGAUCUCGGUGUUCAGUACACACAGGGACAGCAAAAGCUCGGCCUAUCGAUCCUUUUGGUUUAAAGAGU
rnacentral:ncRNA from 1 species